UUUUUUUCCUCUAAUUUUAAUUGUUUUAUCUUUGCUAAUGUGAAGGUGACAGCUUUGCAAUAUUGCGGGCAGAACUGAAGAAUCAAAAUAAACAUAUAAAGAGUCUGAAAAAGAAAUCCCUCUGGUCUAGGAUUUUGGAUGAGGUAGUCAAUACUUCUGUUUUUACAAGGAUGCCGAAUGUAGACUAGGCUUUUUAUAUUAGAAUUCUGACUUUUAAUUUUUACAUGCAACUGGAGACAAGGUUAUGUUCUGUAGAAUGAAUUUUUACUUGUUUGUUGUCACUAUAAAUCUUUAUUCUGCAACCAAGCUAAUUUAUGUUAUGUUUCUUUAUGUUAAGGUAAUGGAGAAGCUUGUAGGCGUCGUCCAUUUGCUAAAUUUGGAGAUCCAUAUGGCAUUUGGUAGCUCUGGUAAUCAUCCAAAAUUUUCGAUAUAGUUUAAACAGUUAUGCUCGCCUUUUUAUGUCUUUGACACUAUUUUUUCCUUUUUCAGUAUGUGCUUGUCCAUUUUGAGUUCUUGUGAUUUAUCUUCUCCUCUUUUAGUGGCCCUUGUUCUCUUAAUAUUCUAAUCCCUUAUUCAUCUGAUAACGAAAAAAGAUGGUGUAAAAUUGUUCUUAUUUUUAUUUCUUUUUCAUGCUUCAUAAAUAUAACUAUAUGCAGUUCAGUGUUCGAAUAGUCCAAUAAUUCCUGGUUCAAUUAUUUAAUAAAAAAUGUGUAUUUUGUUUGUUCGUUGGGUGACUAUUGCAGAUGGAGAUAGGCCAAUAAAAAACCACCAGCAGAAGUUGGGAUCUGCUGGCCUUGCAC
rnacentral:lncRNA from 1 species